GACGAACGCUGGCGGCGUGCUUAACACAUGCAAGUCGAACGAAGAGCGACGGAAGCUUGCUUCUAUCAAUCUUAGUGGCGAACGGGUGAGUAACGCGUAAUCAACCUGCCCUUCAGAGGGGGACAACAGUUGGAAACGACUGCUAAUACCGCAUACGAUCUAAUCUCGGCAUCGAGGAUGGAUGAAAGGUGGCCUCUACAUGUAAGCUAUCACUGAAGGAGGGGAUUGCGUCUGAUUAGCUAGUUGGAGGGGUAACGGCCCACCAAGGCGAUGAUCAGUAGCCGGUCUGAGAGGAUGAACGGCCACAUUGGGACUGAGACACGGCCCAGACUCCUACGGGAGGCAGCAGUGGGGAAUCUUCCGCAAUGGACGAAAGUCUGACGGAGCAACGCCGCGUGAGUGAUGACGGCCUUCGGGUUGUAAAGCUCGGUUAAUCGGGACGAAAGGCCUUCUUGCGAAUAGUGAGAAGGAUUGACGGUACCGGAAUAGAAAGCCACGGCUAACUACGAG
rnacentral:rRNA from 1 species